rnacentral:lncRNA from 1 species
AGUCCCACGAGGAAGCUGCAGGCGUUUUUCAGCCAACAGUUUGACUUCAACGAAGUCAGCAGCAUCCUGAGUCAAACCCGGCUGGAGUCCCUCUGCUCAGAGCAGCGUUGCGUGGGUGUGUCACACAGAUGGGCACAGUCACCCAGGCCACAGGGCUUCUCUAGAAGCUGGAGGGAACCUUGGCUAGGGCUUAACCUGCUUCGGUUCACCACUUCUCUGCCAAGCCCUUUUCUGUGGAAUUUCCAUCUGCCUCUCCACAGCAAUGACUUGAAAACUGGCAACAUAAGGUACAGAGGACAGAGAAGCCUAAUGAUCACUCAGAGAGUGAAUGAAGGCUGGGAGCUGGUAGAGGAUAGAGGAUGCCACUGCCACCAGCCCUCACUGCACUUCCUUCAGGUAAGACAGGGAGGAAGUGAGAGGGCACAGAGGCCACGCAUUCAGUUUUGCUGUCAUCAAUUCCUAGAGUCACAAGUUUUAUCUCCUGACACAUUUCUGAUACAGUGCUUAGGACAUCCUGCCCUUCAAAAACAGCUCAGGAAAUAAACCUUGUGACUUCAGGCAUUGAGCCAUUCUUGGGAUCGAAAAUCUGUGACCUAUAGAGUAUGGAAUGAUAGACACUGGAGACUAGGAAGGAUGAAGGGUGGAAGCGGGUGAGAGAUGAGAAAUUAUCAGAGCCACUGGAACCAGAGUGACUCCAUCUUGAAGAGGGGCUGGGUAAAAUGAGGCUGACACCUGCUGGGCUGUGUCCCCAGGAGGUCAGCCAUUCUUAGUCACAGGAACGACGGGAUAGGAAGUAACAAAGACCCCUCUGAUUAAACAGGAUGCAGUAAAGAAGCCAGCCAAAACCCAUCAAAUCCUAGAUGGCAAUGACGAUGACCUCUGGUCAUCUUCACUGCUCAUUCUACACUAAUGAAAAUGCAUUUGCACACUCAAAGACACUCCCACUCCUGCAGUGACAGUUUACAAAUGCCAUGACAAUGUCCAGAAGUUACCCUACAUGGUUUAACCCUCAGUUGCAGGGGAAUUGCCCACCCCUUUCCUGGAAAAUUCAUGAAUAAUUCACCCCUUGUUUAGCAUGUGAUCAAAAAGUAACCAUAAAAAUAGCCAACCAGUAGCCCUUGUGGCUGCUCUGCCUAUGGAGUAGCCCUUCUUUUGUUUAUUUACUUCUCUCAUAAAUGCUUUCACUUUACUCUGUGGAGUCACCCCAAAUUCUCUCUUCCAGGGAGAUCCAAGAACAGUCUCUUAGGGUCUGGAUCAGGACCCCUUUCUGGUAGCAAAAUUACUUAAUGGAUACAAUGUACAUUAUUUGAGUGAUGGUUACACUAAAAGCCCAGACUUUACCUCUAGGCAAUAUAUCCAGGUAACAAAAUUGCGCUUGUACCCCUUAAAUUUAUACAAACAAUUAAAAAAAGAAAAUCACAACCUGGGGGGAGACUGCUGUUACUCAGCCCUCGGGUUUCCACCUGUCAGUGUUACUGUGAAGAAUAACCUUAAAAUUAUCCCAGGAGUGUCUAAAGGAAAAAUUCAUAGUACAUUUGAUGGUCUGCUGUCAGAACUUUUCAUGCCAUUUUUUUUCUGGUUAAGUGUCAAAAUGAGCAUCAUAAAAUUCUGCGUAAGAGUCUAACUGAUACUAUUAGAAUCAUUAACAUGUUACUGCUCCUUUAUGUUUGAGAUUCUUCAUAACCAUUCAGACUAUCCAUUCAUUUACCGAAUACAUAGUCAUAAAGUUUGUAGGAAAGCUCCCUUCAGCCUACCUGCUUUGAAUUAGUUCCUCACUAAUUGUGUUCUAACUGAUCUCCCUGUGCCUCCUCACCUUCCAACCCUACCAUCAGCGCCUUCCUGACGAGAAAGUAAAAAUUAGCUCAGAACAAGAAAGUAAAAACAUGCCUGGCCAUUCAUCAGGCUGGAAUAACAGACACGGAUAAAGCCGUCUUCAAAGUAACAGGGAACGGUAUUUCUCCCAAGGACAUACUGCAACUCUAACAGGUCAGAACAGCCCCUUCUUUGAGUCACUACUGCUUUUUUACUCUCUAAGAAACUUUAUUCUCUAAAAUCAUGGACUCUCCAAUGCUUUGCUGUUUAGAAUUGUAUCAGUAAGAAUGAAACCUCCACUUUUGGCUGGAAAACCUAGUCGCUUUUUGAUGCAGAGAAACAGUCUAGGUUUAUAACGCGGAGGCAGAGCUUCAGACAAGGGGUUUCCACAUCUAUCUCACAACUGCAUUGUUUCCAUAGAAACAGGAUCCUGGGUCCAUUUUUCAGUGCAGAUCUGAUACUGACCCCUUUAUACUACCCUACUUCACUGUGAGCCUAUCAAAACACUGCUUCAUUCAAAUUUCAUCUAAACCCCACCCUUCCCCAGAAUCCUAGAUUACUUCUGUUUCUUCUUUGUUUGGUGAAAUGCCCUCUAGAGUUCCAUUUACCCAAUUGGAUUAGAUAAAUAAAUCCAAAUGUACCAGACUAUUGGUUUGUUUCUGGUGGUCUUUGGUUGAUGCAGCUAGCACAUUGAGCAGCUAAUGCUUAUUCUGCCACAAACAGAAUAAAUUUUUCAAGAGGUUGGCAGAAUGGCUAUAAGAGUCAUCUCCAGCUGGGCACAGUGGGCACAGUAGCGCACGCCUCUAAUCCCAGCACUUUGGGAGGCCAAGGCAGGUGGAUCACUUGAGGCCAGGAGUUCAAGACGAGCCUGGCCAAGAUGGUGAAACCCUAGCUCUACUAAAAAUACAAAAAAGAAAAGAAAAUUGUUGGGUGUGUUGGCAGACACCUGUAAUCCCAACAACUCAGGAGGCUGAAGCAAAAGAAUCACUUGAGCCUUGGAGGUGGAGAUGGCAGUGAGCCGAGAGUAUGCCACUGCACUUUAGCAUGGAUAAUGGAGAGAGACUCCGUCUCAAAAAAUAAAAAGAAAAACUAAAAUUCAUCUCCUAUCAUUAUGUAUGGUUCUUUUAUUUUUUUCAAAGUAUUUAGAUGAUGGAACUUCUGCCUUUGUUAAGGGUAUUUGUACAGGACAUGGGGUAUUUGAAUUAUACAAAUCUUGUACUCAAGGAUCCAGGACCAGUCAAUACUUUCAUAUAAACUUGGAAAUAAUUACCCUAGACCAGAGAUCACUGGUAUAUUAUUAUAAAACUGUUUCUGUAAAUGGACGAAUAGUAAAUAUUGCUGAAAACUAUGUAACUCUGUUGUUCUUGUAGCCCAAAAGUAGCCAUAGACAAUAUGUAGUGAUGGGGCUUGGCUGUAUUCCAACAAAACUUUGUUUUAGCAAAACAAGAAAUGGGCCAGAUUGAACUCAAGGGCCACGGUUUGCUGACCCUCAUCCUAGACCAUCGCAAUAAA